GGAAUUCCUGGCGAAAAUGGAGUUCCUGGAAUACCAGGGUCUCCAGGUCGUCUGAGCACACUAGGGGAAAGGGGUGAAACAGGGCUCCCAGGAUUUCAUGGAAUGACCGGAAUGAAGGGAGAAAGAGGUUCCCAAGGGAAGAAAGGAGAGCAGGGAGACCCUAUCGAAGGACUCAUGUCACCAUCGGCAAUGUCCAGCUGUCCGGAGGGAUUUCACUUCUCGAGACGUUGGGCUGUUUGCGCCCCUUCAGUAAAACUACGUGGAAGUGUGGUUGGCUAAUUUAAACUUGUUGGUCAUUUUAACAAAAUUAACAUACACGGUAGCAAAUUUAUGUAAUAAAUUAGCAAAAGUUACAAAAUUUUCUCUACCAAAACAGGCCAAUGUGCAAGUG